rnacentral:rRNA from 1 species
UACGUAGGGGGCUAGCGUUGUCCGGAAUCAUUGGGCGUAAAGCGCGCGUAGGCGGUCAGGUAAGUCCGGUGUGAAAGUCAAAGGCUCAACCUUUGAAUGCCGCUGGAUACUGCCUGACUUGAGUCCGGAAGGGGCGAGUGGAAUUCCUGGUGUAGCGGUGAAAUGCGCAGAUAUCAGGAGGAACACCAAUGGCGAAGGCAGCUCGCUGGACCGGUACUGACGCUGAGACGCGAAAGCGUGGGGAGCGAACAGG